UGAAAACCUAGAAUUAGAGUAAAUUUGCUAAUGAAUUCAAUAACUUUUCCACAAUAUUUUUAGUUAUGUGCUUAAGGUUCUCUCAGUGUUUCUUGCACUUUAUAAUUGUUUAAGCCUUUUUUCCUGGUUUUUGUAGGUUCUUGUUUGUUUGUUUGUUUUGAGACAGAGUUCAGCUCUGUCACCAGGCUGCAGUGCAGUGGCUCAGUGUCGGCUCACUGCAAACUCCACCUCCCAGGAUCAAGUGACACUCCUGCCUCAGCUUCCUGAGUAGCUGGGACCACAGGUUCGAACAGUUCUGCCACCUCAGCCUCUCAAGAAGCUGGGAUUAUAGCCAUGCACUACCACACCCAGCUAAUUUUUGUGUUUUUAGUAGAGACAGGGUUUCACUAUGUUGGCCAGGCUGGUCUUGAACUCUUGACCUCAAAAGAUUUAUUUGCCUCGGUCUGCCAAAGUGCUGGGAUUACAGGCUGGAGUGCAGUGGCACAAUCUUAGCUCACUGCAACCUCUACCUCUCAGAUUCAGGCCAUCCUCCCUAGGGACUGGAGACCUCUAUUAGUUGCUACUGUCCUCCUGGAAUGUGUAGCAUAGUAAACACUAAAGCUUUGCAGUCCCCUAAAACACCAUGAAGCCCUGAGAGUAAUGUACAGAUUCCUGAAAUUGAGAGUUAGGGUAACAGGGAAGAAGACACAUGGCCUGUUCUUGAACAUGGAAUGUGAACUCUGUAACAUAGACUGUCUCUCAUAAGGCCCUUUUCAGCUCAAACAGCAAGGCUCAGACAGCUUGCUCUUGUGCCUAACAGAGAGCCUUCUGUCUGAAGACUGGAAAGAUCUCCAGUGAGAUUUACUGUGAGGUACUGGUUCAAGUAACUGUGAAAACUGUAAAGUUCCACAGCCUGGCAUCUGCAAGGUGAAGAUCCAGGAAAGCCCAUGGCUUCGUUCAAAGGCAUGAGAGCCAGAAAGUCAAGGGCAAGAGAAAACUGGUGUUCCAGCCCCAUUUUUGGCCAGAAAGGGAAUUCAAUCUUCCUCCACCUUUUGCUCUCUUCUGGCCUGCAGAACAUUGGACGAGGCCAGCCCAUGAUCUUCACUCAGUCCACUGAUUCAAACCCUCAUCUCCUCCAGAAACAUCCUGUAGACACACCCAGAAAUUAUGGUUGAACAGCCACAUGAGCCUCUGAUGGCCCAGUGAAGCUGACACAUAAAAUUAUCACAUAAAAACACAUUUUCAAAUUCAGGUUGUUUUUGAAUGCCUACGUAUGAAGUUCUAAAAAGCAUGUACCUAUGAGGUAUUAGAAUGAAUACAUCCUUGUUUAAUUUCCAUAAUAGAAUAUGUAAAGUAAUAUUUUAUUUGUCUUAAAUAUAUCUUUAAUAUAAAUAUA